rnacentral:snoRNA from 1 species
CUUUCGCAUGAUGAACACUUGAAAUUCUUGAUAGGAAGAGUAUGAAACCCAAAUGAGUACUAUUAACUAGCUGACUGCGUG